rnacentral:rRNA from 1 species
UGUGUAGGUGGUGUCGUAAGUUUGGUGUGAAAUCUCCCGGCUUAACUGGGAGGGUGCGCCGAGGACUGCGAUGCUGGAGUAUGGGAGAGGAAAGCGGAAUUCCUGGUGUAGCGGUGAAAUGCGUAGAUAUCAGGAGGAACACCUGCGGUGUAGACGGCUUUCUGGACCAUUACUGACACUGAGACACGAAAGCGUGGUAGCAAACA